rnacentral:rRNA from 1 species
GACAGAGGUGCCAAGCGUUAGGCGGAAUCACUGGGCUUAAAGCGUGUGUAGGCGGGUCGUUAAGUACCUUGUGAAAUCCCACGGCUCAACCGUGGAACUGCUUGGUAUACUGGCGAUCUUGAGCCAGCUAGGGGCUACCGGAACAAACGGUGGAGCGGUGAAAUGCGUAGAUAUCGUGUGGAACGCCAAUGGUGAAAACAGGUAGCUGGGGCUGUGCUGACGCUGAGACACGAAAGCCAGGGGAGCGAACGGG